UACGUAGGGGGCAAGCGUUUGUCCGGAAUCAUUGGGCGUAAAGCGCGCGUAGGCGGCCCGGUAAGUCCGUUGUGAAAGUCAAAGGCUCAACCUUUGAACGCCGAUGGAUACUGCCGGGCUAGAGUCCGGAAGAGGCGAGUGGAAUUCCUGGUGUAGCGGUGGAAUGCGCAGAUAUCAGGAGGAACACCAAUAGCGAAGGCAGCUCGCUGGGACGGUACUGACGCUGAGGCGCGAAAGCGUGGGGAGCGAACAGG
rnacentral:rRNA from 1 species